rnacentral:rRNA from 1 species
AGUCGAACGAUGAUAGAGAGCUUGCUUUCUUGAUUAGUGGCGCACGGGUGAGUAAUGCAUAGAUAAUGUGCCCCUUAGUUCGGGAUAGCCACUGGAAACGGUGAUUAAUACCGGAUACUCCUUCUUGUUAUAAGACAAGUCGGGAAAGUUUUUCGCUAAGGGAUCAGUCUAUGUUCCAUCAGCUUGUUGGUGAGGUAAUGGCUCACCAAGGCUAUGACGGAUAUCUGGUUUGAGAGGAUGAUCAGACACACUGGAACUGAGACACGGUCCAGACUCCUACGGGAGGCAGCAGUGAGGAAUAUUGCACAAUGGAGGAAACUCUGAUGCAGCAACGCCGCGUGGAGGAUGACGCAUUUCGGUGUGUAAACUCCUUUUAUUAGGGAAGAUAAUGACGGUACCUAAUGAAUAAGCACCGGCUAACUCCGUGCCAGCAGCCGCGGUAAUACGGAGGGUGCAAGCGUUACUCGGAAUCACUGGGCGUAAAGGGUGCGUAGGCUGGCUUUUAAGUCAGAUGUGAAAUCCAAUGGCUCAACCAGUCGAACGAUGAUAGAGAGCUUGCUUUCUUGAUUAGUGGCGCACGGGUGAGUAAUGCAUAGAUAAUGUGCCCCUUAGUUCGGGAUAGCCACUGGAAACGGUGAUUAAUACCGGAUACUCCUUCUUGUUAUAAGACAAGUCGGGAAAGUUUUUCGCUAAGGGAUCAGUCUAUGUUCCAUCAGCUUGUUGGUGAGGUAAUGGCUCACCAAGGCUAUGACGGAUAUCUGGUUUGAGAGGAUGAUCAGACACACUGGAACUGAGACACGGUCCAGACUCCUACGGGAGGCAGCAGUGAGGAAUAUUGCACAAUGGAGGAAACUCUGAUGCAGCAACGCCGCGUGGAGGAUGACGCAUUUCGGUGUGUAAACUCCUUUUAUUAGGGAAGAUAAUGACGGUACCUAAUGAAUAAGCACCGGCUAACUCCGUGCCAGCAGCCGCGGUAAUACGGAGGGUGCAAGCGUUACUCGGAAUCACUGGGCGUAAAGGGUGCGUAGGCUGGCUUUUAAGUCAGAUGUGAAAUCCAAUGGCUCAACC